rnacentral:tRNA from 1 species
AGCUCUGCAGUUUUAGAAACAUUAGAUUGCAAAUCUAAAGAAGCGGGUUAGUUACCCGCCGGGGCUU